rnacentral:lncRNA from 1 species
GGCUACUAUACUCUUAUGAGUACGAUCGCAUUCGUACUCAUAAGUUGUUUUCGAUGAUAGAGCUUCUAAAUCGACGAUCCAUACCGUUAAACAUUAUCUAGAGCAUUUAAAACUUCUAGAAAUCAAAUUUUAUAAUUUUUCGAUAUCAUUUACCUUACGAUCGAAAGAUCACAAAAUUAACAAUUUUUAACGGCCGGUAUGAGAUAUUUGCUAGUUAAACAAUGAAAAAGAAUCGGAAUAGGUUGAAUUUUUGAUAGAAAAUUCUAUUUAUUACCUAAAUAAAGAUCAAUAACUCCGAUCUUAAAUUAAAGGAUCCGAUCAUCCAUUUUUAGAAUGUAGUUUGAUUUUAACCAUUCAUUUUAUACCCGCUUGAUGGACUUUAUAAUAAUUUCGAAAAAUUACAAAAUUUAUUUUCUAGGAGUUUCAAAUACUCUAAAUCAUGUUUAACGGUGUGGAUCGUUGAUUCGAAAAUUCCAACAUCGAAAACAACUUAUAAAUACGAAGGGCUAUAUACUCAUAAGAGUAUAGCUAUAUACUCAUAAGAGUAUAGUAGCCAUACUAUAUAUAUAUAUAUNAUCACAACCACAACCUACAUUUACCAAACAACAACCAAAGCAUGAUAUGUAUUUCCAUACAGCUAACAAUCCUUAGAAUGAUGCAUGCCUCUAAGCACUCCUUAGGCGCUGGAUGAUGCAAUGCACAAUACAACAAACAUCCUAUUUAAAGGUGCUCCCAACACGGAAGCUUUUGUUUUUAAACUCUAAUUCAUUCAUUCAUAAAAACCAUUCGAAAAUCUUUUUAAAACUGUUUCCCACACGGAAACUCUAUUUUGAAAACCAGCUACCUCGAGGGGUAGAAAUCCGCAAAGCGUAUAAAUCCCAUCUCAUGUAUAAUAAAACAUCCAUAAUCUUAUGCAUACGAGGAAAACCAACUCAUUCAAACAUUCAAACAAUCAUAAAGAUCAUCUAAUCAUGCAUAACGGAAAUCACAACAUUCAAACAUCUAACUGAACCAUUUAUUAUUAACAACUAUUAAGUGCAGAAAUAAAAAUAACCAGGGUGACGGUCGCUAUACCAGACUAGCUAGAUCGUCCUCUCGUCGAGCCCAAGUACCACUCCAAAUCCGAAUCACCUGGGGAAAUGGGGGGGUGAGAAACCGCAACCAUGGUUUUCUCAGUGGGUACGACAGAGCCACGAAGGCAAGUCGUAAUCACCGGAAACCAAAGGAGAUAGAUAAACAAGUAUAUAUAUGUAAGCUGAUAUGAAAUAGAACUACAGUAGCUACAACAGAUAAAAAGGAAGCAAUAAAUAAACCUGCUACUGUAUAGAAAACAAUGCAAAGAAUGCCUCAAUGUACUAAACCAGAAACUGUACCCAAUCUGUGCCUACUGUAUCGGUCCGCAGACCUCAAGCGCUGCCUGUCACUAACUGCACCGACCUGAUCCUUCCGCCCCGCAGGACGACCUAUUCGGAUAAGUACACCUCCGAUCGGUGGCCAAACCGAUCCGGUGUCAUGAACACACCCAAGGCUCCGUGACUAGUCAUGCUGUAUGCUCAAACAAAACCCCGGUAAAGCCGAUGCUAGGGCCGAAGCCAACAAGUGGCGUACAACGCCGAACCGAAAUAGAAGCUAGGGCGUACAACCCGACCUCGAUCACCCAACAGUCGAAAGACACAUGACAAGAGAGUCGUGUGUUGCCUGGACGCCAAGUCCACAAGAGCAAUACAAAUGCAACCCACUGCUCUACCAAUAUGUUAUCCACCACUAUACAAUGCAACUCAAGGGUGGCGUAAACGCAAACAGUAAGAAGCAAUGACAUGUAGAGUCUAAAUACAGGAAUAGAAAAACAGGAGAAGGAGUGAAACGCUCUCCACCGACUAACCACUCGAAGCACCGCCACCCGUCUACAUGUGCGUCAGCAGCACCAUCUGGGAAACUGCACUUUAAUUCGAUUUAUCUUUUUCGCGGACCCUACGAGAUCCCACGGUACAGUACACAUCAAAAACCACUGAAUACACACUCUCACAAACGCGCACGACAUUACCACUAACCGACCUCCCCGUAUCGGUUCCCGGCCAAAAACCAGAGAUCAUGCGAUACUCAUCAGCGGAAAAGUUCCACGAAAACCACACGGGACGUCGUCGGGGACGCCACGCCAUAAAUGUCCGCGAACACUCACGACAGACCCUCAAACACAACGAAGCAGGGGGGCAGCGGAGAGGCGGACGCCACAAAGAGCACAUGAGAGCGACUCGUCGCCACGAGCUCACACAUGUCUCCAAAGCACUCCAAUUUUGUUUGUCUUGGCAUCAAACACGAGGUCAACACAACAAUAGAUCAUCGCCUGACAUAAUCAUACGAAUCCCAGAUUCCCGAAGUGUCUCUAUUUCGACAAGCCCGAACCACAUCCGAUCGCUCACGCUAUCAUCCAAUCGACCCACAAAAAUGAUAUGGGACCAGCCCCAACAAGCUCAGCGACAAAACACGAAGCAACAAACACCGUCGGAAAGGAAUCCCGAACUAACCGCGUUCUUCAGCGAAUUCUCGUGAAAAGGGGCGCACCGAAUCGGGCUUACCGAUUUCCGCGAAACGCUAACGGACCCUAAGGACAGAUCAAGUCACGCGGUCCAUUACAAACUCCCACACAUACCGCCAGUAGGCGGGCGACGCGAGAGGCGACGAAAGUGCGAUAAAAGACACUCUAAUUACAUACAAAUUGGACAGCAUUUUAUUCAAUUUGACGCGAUCCAAGCGGCUCGUUCAGUGACGCGCAAAUCGUAAGGACUUUCCCGAAUCUAACGCAGAGACACAAUCGACUGACAGGAGGAGGGGAUUCAUGUGAGCCAGCGAAGUCGCCUGCUCGAACGAUCCGGCAUUCACAGGCGCUACGUGAUGGAAGGCGGCGAGCAACCCGAAGGUUCAGCCCGAAAAUCGCGCAGUCAGGGAAGCAUCGCGCCGAAAAGAACUAAACCCGGACCGUUUUAAAUCCAAAGUGAUGUCUCACUGUAUGGCAAUCCGUUCGCAAUCUGACGCGAAAACGGAUCUCGCCGGAGAUCGCGCUUGAUCGAGUGAGAGUCGUAGUCGCAAAUGGAUAUUCUUCGCCGAAAGCGCGACAAUUUUAUGUACCGUUUUGCGUGAGAGAAAUCGCACCGCCUGACCCGGCCUAUUACGUCGUGUUUUUAACACGCACGUGGAUGAACCCUUAGUUUUAAAAAUUGAGUUCUUCGUGUCAUUUCCCCGGCAAUUGAGUUUUAUAUAAUAUUAAUUUUUCACAGGUUGUCUCUUUUAGGGCUUUGAACAGAAACCCUAACCCUAGCCCCCCAGCCACCUUCAUCCCUCUCCCCUGCCCCUGCCGCACACCCCUGGCCGCCACCGACUGAGCCCCAGCCGGCCAACCGCCGCCGGAGCCACCUUCCUUCCCCCUCUCCCUCUCUUUCUCUUUCUCUCUCUCCUCUCGGGUUGUGAGGAAGCCCGAGACUGCCGCCACCUUCAGACCCUCCGCUAGGGUCGCCCCGUGCUCCGGCGAGCAUCCCCGCCGAGCGCCGCCGUCGCCGAGCGCCGCCGCUGCUGCCACUGCAGCCUGCAGCCGACUUGGCCAAGCCCUGGCCGAGCAGAUCGUGCGGCCUCUUCCUCGCUUUGCCGCCGCCCUAGGCGACUCCCGUAACGCCUUCCCGACGUCAGGCCGCCGGCCGCCGCCGCCCCGAGCCGCCCAGAGUGCCGCCGCCGCCGCCUCGGCCAGCCCGCAGCCGCCCCAGACCCGCUCGGGCCGAGGCGAGCGUGCGACUCCACCCCUGCGCCGCCGCCGCUUGGGGCAGCACCCGAGGCGUCCCUCCGGCCUCCUGCAAUCCUCCUCCACCGUCUCGGAGCUCCCCGGCCGCCGCCGUGGCCGCAGGUGCCCGCGGAACCCGUGCCCUAGCCGUGCGGGCUUGUCUUGUUCCUCCGCCGCCGCCGCCGCUUCCAGCCGCUGUCUGAGGUGAGCACCUCACUCCUCUCCUCCCCCGCACCCAUCCCUGGCCUCCGCGCGCGCCGCCGUGCCGCCGGAAGCCGGCCGGAGCAAGCUUGCUCCGGCCAAGCCCGAAAUGGGGCUUUUGUGGGAUGGCCUACUGUUCCGAGCUUCCCGGGGCUUCCCGAUCUCUAAAAACGGGAGCACGGUGAUUGUACCAAGUCGCUGAUCACCGUGCUCACCUUGGUUUCUGUAGGGAAGGCCCCGUUCCGCUGUUUUGGCGAUGUCGCUCCGUUUCAGCCUUUUUGGCUGCUAUUUUGGGCUUGCGCACGCUUAUCCGGCGAUUCGAGGCUGUCCUGAUGCCUCCGGAGGUGAGCACGGUGAUCGUCGGUCAGUGCUGAUCCUUCUUCGAAUAGAAGGAAACACACACAUAAAUACAUAUAAAACAUGUAUUUUUGAAUUUUCUCGAAAUCCGUGCAUCAAACUCAAAAUCCGUCAACGUCAUCAGUUCCAGAACAGCUGAACUGGUCGAAACGAGCUAUUGGACUGCUAUGAACGGAGUCCGGUACGAGCCAGAAGCCAACUCCCUACCGUGGCUUCUCCGAAAAAUCGAGUUACUAUUCACUUUAAGUGAAACUUGAAAAUCGCGUAGAAUUUUCGUUUUAACUCGUUUUCGCCCGAAACUUGACGAGUGCUUUUGUAAUUAAAUUACACACAAAAACAUCAUCAACUGAGAGUUUAGCUACACUGCAAAAAUCUCAGUCCUUACAUUUGAUUUCUAAACACUUCAAGUGGUAUAGAUCAUGUUCAACGGAGCCGAUCGUCAAUUUGGAAGCUCUAUCAUCGAAAACAACUCGAUAGUAAAACGCCCCGUUUACUAUCGAGAGUAUUCUAGCUCAACUCUAUAUAUAUAUAUAUAUAUAUAUAUAUNNNNNNNNNNNNNNNNNNNNNNNNNGGCAGCCACCGAGGCCGUCCCUCGCGCCUCCUGCAAUCCUCGUCAUCCCCGUCUCGAGCUCCCGCCGCGCGCCGUGGCCGCCAGGUGCCGCGAACCGUGCCCUAGCGUGCGGGCUUGUCUUGUUCCUCCGCCGCCCGCACGCUUCCAGCCGCUGUCUAGAGGUGAGCACUCACUCCUCCUCCCCGCGCCCAUCCCUGGCCUCCGCGCGCGCCGCCCGUGCCGCCGCGAAGCCGCCGGAGCAAGCUUGCUCGCGCCAAGCCAAAGCGAAGGUAUUGUGGGAUAGCCUACUGUUCCGAGCUUCCGGGCUUCCCGAUCUCUAAAAAACGGGAGCACGGUGAUUGUACCAAGUGCCUGGAUCACGUGCUCACCGUUGGUUUCUGUAGGAAGCCCCGUUCGCUGUUUUGGCAUGUCUGUCUGUCCGUUUCAGGCCUUUUUGGCUGCUAUUUUGGGCUUGCGCACGCUUAUCCGGCGAUUCGAGGCUGUCUGAUGCUCCGGAGGUGAGCACGGGAUCGUCGGUCAGUGCUGCAUCCUUCUUCGAAUAGAAGGAAACACACACAUAUACAUAUAAAACAUGUAUUUUUGAAUUUCUCGAAAUCCGUGCAUCAAACUCAAAUCCGUCAACGUCAUCAGUUCUCCAGAACGCUGAACUGGUCGAAACGAGCUAUUGGACUGCUCAUGAACGGAGUCCGGUACGAGCCAGAAGCCACUCCCGUACGUGGCUUCUCUCCGAAAAUCGAGUUACUAUUCAACUUAAGUGAAAACUUGAAAAUCGCGUAGAAUUUUCGUUUUAACUCGUUUUCGCCCGAAACUUGACGAGUGCUUUUGUAAUUAAAUUACACACAAAAACAUCAUCAACUGAGAGUUUAGCUACACUGCAAAAAUCUCAGUCCUUACAUUGAUUUCUAAAACACUUCAAGUGGUAUAGAUCAUGUUCAACGGUGACCGAUCGUCAAUUGGAAGCUCUAUCAUCGAAAACAACUCGAUAGUAAAACGCCCCGUUUACUAUCGAGAGUAUUCUAGCUCAACUCUAUAUAUAUAUAGUAUAUAUAUAUAUAUUAUAUAUUAUAUAUAUAUAUAUAUAUAUAUAUAUAUAUAUAUAUAUAUAAUUGAGCUAGAAUACUCUCAAAAAGCACCACCCCCUGGUGCUUUUGAGUUUCUAGCCCUUGGAUCUACUCUUGAUUUACUAGCAUGGAUAUGGAUCAAACACUAUUUCACCUACACACCUUACCACACCUAUCACGAUCAUCCCAUCUCUACAUCUCUCCAUCAAGUAGCUAAAACUCAAAAGCACACUCCCUUAGUGCUUUUGAGAGUAUUCUAGCUCAACUCUCUCUCUCUCUCUCUCUCUCUCUAUAAUAAAUAUAUAUAUUAUAUAUAUAUAUAUAUAUAUAGUAUUAUAUAUAUAUAAUAUAUAUAUAGUGAGCUCGUAUGCUUCUGGAAGCACGGAAGUUCACGCCCGGUGUCCCUUUUGGUUAAAAACAUAGCGAUUUUUUUUUUUUUUUUUGAAAACCUGAUCCCAGGGUAUGCCAGAUCUACCGCAAAUACAGAAAAUUAACUGUUCGCGCGGACAGAGUCUCCUCUGUAUUUGCACGGCGUCACACAAGUACAAGUACAUAACCAGGAUACAACCACUACACUGAACAUACAGACAUCCAACAUCUAUAUAUAUCCAGACAGUCACAUUCAUGAUUUGAACAUAAAAUCACAACUAUUAGUUAAAACGUUUCCAACUCAGAAACGGGUUUUGAAAUACUAAGUUAUGAAAACUACGAAAAACUUUUUGAAAGCUGUUUCCCACGCGAAAACUCUUUUCUUUUAAAACGUGCUACCACGAGGGGUAGAAAACCGUUUUUCAUUUCACAAAUUCCACAAAUCUCUUUAUUACAUUCAUAAAAACCCAUAUUUUCAAAUGUAAUAAAAAUACUUAACCAUAUAAACUAUCUGAGCUAUAUCAACAUAAUAAUAAGGGUAGAAACUAAACCGAAUAACCUGGGUCGGAAGCUCUAUCGACCGCUACAAACGUGUCUCACAUCUCGUCUCAACUCUCACCGCCUGCGAUACCUGAAAAAUGGUGGGGGAGGUGAGAACAUGUAAACAUGUCUCCCCUCCCAGUGGGUACUGCAAGCCGAUGAAGGCGAGGAGUACUUACCGGAUCAGGAAGAGCUAAACAAUAGUACGGAUCAGUAGAAAUAUAGUAGCAAUAAAAAUGAAUGAAAGAGACAUAUAUAUGAAAGAAAGUACAACUACUGCUACUGUAAUGAACAACUGAAUGUAUACAUAUAACAAUACUAUAGUAGCAAGACAAUGUAACGAAAGAACUGAAGGUAUACAAGUGGCAACCGCUACUAUAGUUAUAUGCGUCAACCAGACGAUAAGUCCAAAUAUACCCAAUCUGAUACUGCUAUAUUGGUCACAGACCUCAAGCGUUACCUGUCACAGAGCAGACACUGCGAGUUUAUUCAUGCGUCACCGACGACCUAUCCGGAUAUGUACACCCCUUGGUUGGUGGCCAAACCAACCUGCUGUUUAGAACACACAGUGCUGUGACUAAAUCAUGCUGAUAUGCUCAAACGAAACCCAACUUAAGCCGGUGCCUACGCCGAAACAAGAAACCAGGGCGUACAACGCCAAACCUCGAUCAACCAGAUCGAAACACAUGACGAGAGAGUCGAUGUGUUGCCUGGACCCAAAGUCCACAAAGUCCAACCGACCAGCAAGGUCACUGAUACGAAGUACGAGAACCAACCAACCAGGUGAAUAGAUACGGAAUGCAACAACCGACCAACCAGGUCAACAAAUAUACAUAUAGAUAGAACUACUCUACUCCUACUCAGGAUACUAAGUAUGCAAACAACGAGCAGAGUAUAAUGGAAUAACAUGGGUGCAAGGCUCAAUAUAUACUAUGCAAUAGUAACAACAGCAGAGUAAGGCUCAAUAUAUACUAUACGAAGUACGAGAACCAACCAACCAGGUGAAUAGAUACGGAAUGCAACAACCGACCAACCAGGUCAACAGAUACGGAAUGCAACAACCGACCAACCAGGUCAACAAAUAUACAUAUAGAUAGAACUACUCUACUCCUACUCAGGAUACUAAGUAUGCAAAUAACGAGCAGAGUAUAAUGGAAUAACAUGGGUGCAAGGCUCAAUAUAUACUAUGCAAAAGUAACAACAGUAGAGUAAGGGUAAGAAACCGUCACCGAGCGUGCACCACUGUACAGACGUCGGAUCGAAGUACUCACCUAUCACUGUCGCGUCGGAACACUGGGUAUGCAGAAGUCAACCGGACCUACGAAGAUCCACCAGGUCAGUAUCCAACCCACUAACCUGAAGUACGAGAGCCACAAACCUCCACAAAAGAUCCCUGUAAUCGUUUCCCAAAACCAAUCACCGUAACUCACCGGAAGUCCCGAAAACUAUAGUGGGACGCCGUCGGGACCCACUAAGUAUCCCGAAACUCACCGAGCGUACCACGAGUCACCCGCUGCCACAAAACACUCCUGUUUGGGUGUCUUGGCAGCAAACACAAGAUAACACCGCUACACAAUUAUCGCCGGAUAAUUGUACGAAUACGGGUUCCCGAAAGCGUCUAUUUCGACACCGGAACCCACCGUCACUCACCCAUCAUCACCGAACCCACAAAAUGAUGAUGGUGACCAGCCAACAAGGCUCAGCGGCAAUUCACAGGAUAAACAAACCACGUCGGAAGAAAUCCAAACUAAAACCGCGUUCUUUCGGCGAAUUUCGCCGAAAAACGCACCGAAAUCGACUCCUCGAUUUCUGCGAAGGCUAUCGGAUCAUGGACAAUCAGUCCAGAGGUCACCACACACACACAUGCACUGCCCACAGUAGCCACAAGGUGCACAAUUGCACAAAAGCCCCUCAAUUUACAUAAAAUCCUAUCAUUUUAUGUAAAUUGGGCGAUUAAGUGGCUCGUUCAUGCAAACCGAGAACUUCUAAGGUCUGCCGAGACACGCACUGACAGGUCUCGAAGUUUCGGAGGCCGUGCUCAUGAUUCGGAGCACAACGGCUCACUGUGGGAAGCGCGGGAGCAACCCGAAGGUUCAGCGAACAGCGCGCAGUCGGGGAAAAUCGUGCCGAACAGGCCGAUACGACAUUCGCUGAUCCAAAGUAAGGUGAGCUCUGUGAUCAGCACUGACCAACGAUCACCGUGCUCACCUCCGAAGGCAUCGGAACAGCCUCGGAUCACCGAAAAAAUGCGUGCAAGCACGGAACAGCAGUCGAAAAGGCUCAACAGGGUCGACACCGCCGAAACAGCGGAACGGAGUCUCCCCGACAGAAUAUAAGGUGAGCACGAUGAUCAGAAAGUUGCCACGAUCACCGUGCUCCCUUCCGCAGAGGUCGGGGAGCCUCGGGUAGCUCGAAACAACAAACCUACUUAACUAAGCCCUAUUUCGGGCUUGGCUGGAGCAAGCUUGCCCUGGCCAGCUUCCAGCGGCACGGCGAGGUGCGCGCGGGCCAGGGAUGGGUGCGGGGGAGGUGAGGAAUACGAUGCUCACCUCAGGUGGCGGUAAGGGGCGGCGGUAGCGACUGCGGAGCAAACCGAGCCCGCAACAACUAGGGCUCGGGUUCCACGGGCAAAAGCAGCCACGACGGCGGCCGUGGAGCUCAGGGACGGCGGCGGAGAGUUGCUGGAGGCCGUUGGAAUGCUCCGGGUGCAGCCCUAAGUGGCGGCGGUGCAAGGAAGAAGGCGCGAGCUCGUCUCAGACCGAGCUUGCCCAAGGAACCCAACAGGCGGCUGCAGUGCGGCGGUGGCGCUCGGGACGGCUCGGGGCGGCGGUGACCGACCACCUGAGGUUGGAGGGGGUGCCACGGGGUGGCCCAAGGUGGUGGCGGCACGGGGAAAAGGUCGCACCCAGACCACGGCCCGAGUAGGUCUAGGCGCGAUGCGGGCUGGCCGAGACAGCGGUGGCGGCCCGUUGUGGCGCCGGCGACCGGCCGGGGUGGUCGCCAAGGGUCCGAGGACGGCGGCCGGAGCGGGUUCAGGCGGUGGCUGCGCACAGGGAGGCCGCGAGUCAACCUCGGCUUGGGCUCGGCCCAGGCAGCAGCAGGGUGCAGCAGCGGCUGCGGCGACGCGCGGAGGCGGCAGCGGCUGGCCAGGGGAUGUGCGGCUAGGGCAGGGAAGCGAGGUGAAGGUGGCAGGGUGCGGCUAGGGCAGCUGGGGGCUAGGUAUAUUAGGGUUUCGAGGUUCCAAUUAAACCCUAGAAGACACUAUAUAUAAGCAGGCAAAAAUACAAAUAAGUCCUCCGAAACUCAGAUUUACAUACUGAGUCCUCCACAGCGCGUGUAAAACACGCGAAUACCCCUCCACGUCCGGUUUCACGCGAAACGGUAUAUAAAAUGUCGCAACUUUUGCAAAAUUACCGUUUUGCGAUCACCGACCUCUCCUCGAUCAACGCGCAAUCUCCGCAGAUCCGUCCCUCAGAUUUGCGAACGGAUCGCGCCAGUGCGAUCAGCACAUCUGAGACAACAAACCUACGAUUUUGGUUCACCUCGAUCGAUCACGGAUUCGCGAUGAAAUCCGUUCUCUCUCCGAAAGGCCAAAAUGACGCACAAAUACAUAUAAAACACGUAUUUUCAGAUUUCUCGAAAUCCGUGCGUCAAACUCAAAAUCCGUCAGCGCCAUCAGUUCUAGAAUAACCAAACCGUUCGAAAUGAGCUAUUGGACUGCUAGGAACGGAGUCCAAUACGCGCCAGAAGCCAACUUCGCACCGUGGCUUCACCGGAAAAUCGAGUUACUAUUCACUUUAAGUGAAACUUGGAGAUCGCGUAAAAUCUCCGUUCUAGCUUAGUUUCUCCCGAAACUUGACGAGUGCUUUUGUAACUAAAUUACACACAAAAACAUUGUUAACUGAGUGUGACACCCCAAUAGUCCCACAUCGGAUAGGAAUGAGGUUGUCAUUGGGUUUCUAAGAGACUUAGACACUAGUAAUAAUAACUGGGCUUAAGCAUUUUGGGCUGUUGACUGGGCCCAACGAUUUAUUAUUGCUAGUGGGCUGGGUCGUUACAUUUGGUAUCAGAGCCGGUUCACCAGCUGUACAUGUGUGGCGAGUCUCGGCUGAGCCAGGGUCUGGAUGACGGGCUAGCGAGACGAGUCUCACAUAGCCUGGUGAUCUUGGGCUGUGUGUGAUUGGACUGACGAGGACGUCAGGAUCUUAACGGGUCGAGUCUGUGACACCCCAAUAGUCCCACAUCGGAUGGGAAUAGGGUUGUAGACUUAGACACUAGUAAUAAUAACUGGGCUUAAGCAUUUUGGGCCGGUUGUUGGGCCCAACGAUUUAUUGUUGCUAGUGGGCUCGGUCGUUAUACUGAGAGUUUAGCUACACUGCCAAAAUCGCAGUCCUUACAGGAAGGCUCUGUGACUUCCAAGUCGUUUUCGAUGUUGGGACUUUCGAAUCGACGAUCGGCCCCGUUAAACUUCAUCUAGAGUACUUGAAGUACCUUGAAAAUAAUUUUGUUAUUUUUUUAUAUCAUUUACCUAGUGAUCGAAAGGGCUCAAAAUCAAUAAUUUUAAUUGCCGUGGUGAGCAGUUUGCAAGUUUAACGGUGUAGAAAUAUCCAAAUCAUGUCAAAUUUUGAUCGAAAAUUCUUUAUACUAUAUAAAAUAGGAUUAAUAUUUUCGAUCUAAAAUUUUAAUGUCAAAUCAUCAUAUUUUGUAAGAUUUUUAUUUUCAACCGUUGAUUUUGAGCCACUUCGAUCACUAGGCAAAUGAUAUCAAAAAAUCGCAAAAUUUAUUUUCUAGAUACUUAAAAUACUCUAGAUCAAGUCUAACGAGGCUGAUCGUUGAUUCGAAAGUCCCAACAUCGAAAAUGAUUUAGAAGCACAGAGCGCUCCUUACUUCCAGAAGCAUACCAGACGCACUAUAUAUAUAUAUAUAUAUAUAUAGUCCAGCUACUAUACUCUUAUGAGUACGAUCGCUCUCGUACUCAUAAGUCGUUUUCGAUAAUGGAACUUCUGAAUCGGCGAUCCAUACCGUUAAACAUUAUCUAGAAAAUUUAAAACUUCUAGAAAUCAAAUUUAUAAUUUUUCGAUAUCAUUUACCUUACGAUCAAAAGCUCACAAAAUUGACAAUUUUUAACGGCCGAUAUGGGAUAUUUGCAAGUUUAACGGUGUAAAAGAAUCAGAAUAGAUUGAAUUUUUGAUAAAAAAUUCUAUUCACUACCUAGAAAAAAAUCAAUAACUCCAAUCUUAAAUUGAAGGAUCCGAGCAUCUAUUUUUAGGACGUCAUUCGAUUUUAACCAUUCAUUUU